GCAGGGUUGUUGCAGUGGGGGUUGUGGUGCUGCUACCCUUACUUUCGCGCUGCUGCUGGCGGGGCACUGCCUUCAGAGCUGGACAGCUGGAGAGUGCUGGCUGCUGGCCGGGAAUCCA